rnacentral:sRNA from 1 species
GCCAGGCAUGGUGGCGCAUGCCUGUAAUCCCAGUGGCUUGGGAGGAUGAGACAGGAGGAUAAUAAGGUGCUUAGCUACUCAGUGAGACCCUGUCUCUA